rnacentral:rRNA from 1 species
AUGCUGACAGCCAAUAGACAAUUCACUGUGAAAUCAUUGUAUCAACAACUGAUAAAGACGGAUGUAGGUUUCCCGCACAAAUUCUUUUGGAAAAUAAAAAUUCCAGCGAAAAUGAAGAUGUUUCUGUGGUUGUUUGCCAGGAAAAGUAUACUGACUAGAGACAACCUUGCUAAAAAAGGACGGAAAGGAGACCAAAAGUGUGUUUUCUGUGGUCAAAAUGAAUCAAUAGACCACCUUUUUUUCUCUCGUUCAGCCGCAAGAUUACUUUGGAGUCUAAUUAGAUGCUCUUUCAAUCUAAGAACAACCCCAAUAGGGGCUGAUGAUUGUCUGGGCGCCUGGAUCAGAAAAUUCAAACAAGAAGAUAGAAAACUAGUGUUGGUUGGAAUGGCAGCGAUUCUCUGGGCUAUUUGGAAAUGCCGAAAUGACAUAAUUUUUAGAAUAAACUGA